UUUUAUUUUAAAAUAUCGUUUUAGUGAGAAUGAUUUUGUAUAAUUUUGUAGGGAUUUUGAUUUGAGAAUCGCAAAUUUAGUGAAAAAGUAAUUUUCCGUAAGAAAUUUUCAUGUUAUAUUUUUUUUAACUUGAAAACCGCGAAUUCGACAAAUUUGAUUAGGUGUUGGUGCGCGAUUCUACGCGAAAUUUUAACCCGUUAACGAAACGAAAUGUAAAUGUAGUGCACGUUCCAUAGUGCGGUUUGCCAAAAAGUAUUUGUGCGCGAUUCGACGCGAAAUUUUAACCCGUUAACGAAACGAAAAAUAUAUGGUGUGUGAAUCGAUAAAGCGGUAUGCCAAAAGAUGUGAUUUUCAUUCAAAUGACUUUCUAAGUAAUCUGUUGAGAUUUUCUUCAAUUAUGAGGACGAGGCUGUUGGGUUAAGCUAAUUUUUUUUGGAUUAUUAGUUCCCUAGAAACGACAAGUACAGGCUUGAAGUUGCUCUAACGUAGUGGACUAACAAGUCUGUGCUAUGGGGAUGAUUGUGUGAUGUAUGUCUUUGGAAUUUGAUCAUAAAUGAGGUAGGCAAGACUAUAUGUGAGUACAAAUUUUUAUAUACAUUAAAUUAGGUUGGGUGAUUUCGUUUUCUAAUGAUAGUAAACUUAUAACGCAAUGAUAAAAUUUUGUCUGAUGCUUACAAAGAUAUGAAAAUCGAGUUACUUUUGAGUUCUUUUUUUGAUAGAAAAGUUUCACAACCAAAAAAAUCGUAUGGAAAAAAAUUAUAGAUAUCUGGAGAAUAAUAUUCGCAUAAAUUUGACUUUUUAUGUUUGGUAUUUUCAGUUAAGUAAAUUGAAACUUGUUUGCGUGUGUUAAAAAUUCCGUUUUGCAAUCUUCAUAUCGAUGGCUACUUUAUUUGUUAUAAAUUUUCGUUUUUCUUUCCCAAACUGGACCUGAAAUUUAAAAAUAUAAAAUGUUGUAAACUUCGGAUCUGUGAAUUACUUUGAUAAUAAUUGAAUGAUAAAAUUAUUAUACACUAUUUUGUUCUUAUACAGAACUUAAUAAAAUUGAAUUUUUCGAAAUGAAAAUUACAUUUUUUUAAUAAUAAUUCGAAAAAAAAACAUAUUUUCUGGACAUUUUAUUUUAUAAUCGACUAUGAACAAUUUAUUCAAACGUUAAUUGUUUCUAAUUUUUAUUAACCCUUAAAAAAAGAAAACUGAAUCUGUUUCUUUUUUAAUUUUAAAUGUUUUCUGCUCAAGUUAGUUGAAAUUAUAUAUGUAAUAAUAUAUUUUGCAAAAUAAAAGAUUUUCUCAAGAGUUAUCGAAUAUCGAUAGCUACUUCAUUUGUUAUAAAUUAUCAUCAUUCCUACCCAUUUUCGACUUGAAAUUUGAAAAGAUAAAAUGUAAUAACUAUCUAAGGUAAACUUCGAAUCUUACUUAGACAAUUGAAUAAUAAAAUCAUCAUAUAUAGUUUUUUCUAAUGCAGAACUUUACAUAAUUAAAUUUUUCGAAACUGAAAUUCCAUUUUACCAAUAAUCAUUUGAGAAAAAAACAUCUUAUGGACUAUUUUAUUAUAGAAUUGACUUGGACAAUUUUUUCAAACGUAAAUUAUUUCUAAUAUAUAUCAAUCAUUAAAGAAAAACAACCGAAUCUGUUUAUUUUUAAUUUUACUUUAAUAAUUGAUUGAUAAAAUUAUUAUACACUGUUUUGUUCUUAUGCAGAAAUUUAUAAAAUUGCAUUUUUCGAAACUAAAAUUACAUAUUUUUAAUAAUCAUUUGAAAAAAAAAUUAUUUUCUGGACUAUUUUAUUAAUUGAGCCACUUUUUAUGGUUAUAAUUGUACCGUAGCCAGCGGCGUGGGUAACCGCAUUCAUUUCGCCUUCACCCAAAAAUCAAACACUUUCCACUGAAAAAGUGUAGGUUUAGCCCUAGCAACACCGUUUAUGUCAAUACUGACAUAAUCCCCAUUCCAAGCCGCCUAAAUGACCUCCAAGCCCGCUAAGUGAUUCGAACCAUCGAAUCAAGUAAUUUCGUUGCGAAAGAGACCCUCCUCAUCCUACCUUAAUUUCCUCAAUAGUUCCCCCAUAUCAAUCAGAUAAAUUCCGACCCCCAACACCCACCCUCACUGUCAUUCGAUCGUCGGAGUUGCAGGUUUUCUGCGGUUUCCCUGUAACCUGGAGAACCGAUUCUCCAGACAAAUGACCGACGAUAGGGAAUAAUACAGCCGCAGCUGUACCCGCCCACCCCAAAUCAGAUUAAGAAAAAACACAAAAUAAACAAAAAAAAAUAUAAAAAAAAACCCAAAGGAAAAAAAAGAAAAAAAAAUUAAUUAAAAAAAUUCUUGGAUAAAAAAUAACAACCCCGCUAGAAGCAGCCGAGCAAGCACUCCCCAGCAAAACAGUCACAAACCCAGCCCUGCAGAGGAAAAAAAAUUCCUAUAUCAGGGCCUAAGCAAACAAAUCCAAAUUACCCAAAAAAAAACCUUCCUUCCAAAUUCUACCCAACGAAUCUCUCUCUCUCUCUCCAUUGUAGGUCAUUACAUUUUAGAUUUUAACGGCGCUUAUGCUUACCUUGUAACUUAUUAUUCAAAAUCCUUUUGA